rnacentral:lncRNA from 1 species
AAUAAAACAUUCCGAAGUCCAAAACAAAACCUCUGUUGUUCCAAAUCAAAAACAAAAUCUCUGUUCUCUCCAAAUCAAAAACAAAACCCAACCUCUGUUCGAUCUCUCCAAAACAAAUUGAAGUUGUUCGCUCAAAAAAAAAAACCAAUCUCUGAAUCAAGCAACCUAACUCGAAAAAAUCGAAUCAAGCAACACGAAUACCAAGAAUCAACAUAUCUCGACUUCGAUUCGGUAAACCCUUAACUAUUAUCCAUCAACUCGUUCUGGGUUUUGACCUUGGACGAUUUCUAGGUUUUAUGUGGUCCAUUUAAGUCUCUUUGCAAUUUGGGUUUUUUUAGAGGGUUUGUUCCUUAAUCCUUAUGUUAUUUCAUCUUUCUCUCCCGUACGAACAUUGAAAUCUCUUUGUCUGCUCGAUAGCCAUUGCCAGUGUAUAAGAGGUACAAUUUUCUUAAUUAAUCAUUACACUUUUUUCCCCUCUCACUCUCUAGUUUCAUUAGUUAUUUGCAGAAAUUUUUUAUUUUUAUUUUAUUAAUAAUCUUUCUCAAAAUUUCAGUUUACCUUUUUUUAUUCUUUCGAACUCAUGUUUUAUUAAUUUAUUUACUGCUAUAAAAUUGUGUCUGGUUCUACUUUUUUCCAAUUGAUUUCUUACUUCUGAAAUGAUUUUUUUUGAAGUUGGUAUUUAAGAAAGUGCUCAUUUUCAGAAAAUUCCAAAAACAGUAACUAAGAUUUGAUGUCUAGACUCUAGCUUAGUAUGGGGCUACAGUUACCUCUCCCAAAAAAAGAAAUAAGAUUUGAUGUUUAGAACUGGAUUUGUAAAGGAAAAGAAGUCAGGAAACGUGGAAUUUCUUUACUUGCUUGUAUAUAAACCUUAUUUCAUUUGUUAUUUUCUUUGUUUUGUGAAAUUGUUCUGGCACUGCUGGUUCUGUUAUUUUGAUUAGUCAUUCUCUCUAUUUUUAUCGUAGAGAUUAAAAUAUGAGAAUUCUGGUAAAAGAGUUUCCACUGCAGCAUGUGUCAGUUCUGAAUAAGUUAUCUUGUGCAUAUUAUGUUCUAACCUUGCUAAAUUUUAUUAGUUGCAUAUAUAGUAGCUACAAAGUUGGUGCAGUCCUCCCCUACUUUUUUCCAAUUGAUUUCUUAUUCAUGUAUAAAAGCUCCAAUCUUUGUUGUUUUAGUGAUUUUUCUUGUCAUUAGUAUGGUUACAAGGGAAAAUGCUAAAGGGCAAAUCCAAUAAUUCACUUUUUAUUUAUGGUUGUCAAAUUCAAUGGUCACUAGGAAUUCCCAUGUGUUAUAUCUUGUUUCAUUAGUUAUUUGCAGAAAUUUUUUAUUUUUAUUUUAUUAGUAAUCUUUCUCAAAAUUUCAGUUUACCUUUUUUUAUUCUUUCGAACUCAUGUUUUAUUAAUUUAUUUACUGCUAUAAAAUUGUGUCUGGUUCUACUUUUUCCCAAUUGAUUUAUUAUUCGUGUGUUAUAGAAAAGCUCCAAUCUUUGUUGUUUUAGUUAUUUUUCUUGUCAUUAGUAUGAUUAUAAGGGAAAGUUAUUUUUUGAUUAUGGUUCGCGAGUAUGAAUAUAUGUAAAGCUAAGUUUGAUUCUUGGGCGGCACGAUUUUUGUUCCCCAGUUGGGUCAAUUUGGUACUUCCAGUCCAGAAAUCGUCAGCCGUCCAAGAAUUAAACUUAGCUUUACAUAUAUUCAUACUUGCGAACCAUAAUCGAACAUAUUCAAUUGAAUGCAUGGCGAAUGAUUCGAAAUCUAUUGAGCUACUCAUGUAGAAAACGAGUAGAGUAGGACUUCUCACUUCCGGAUCGUUUGAGGAGUCGAAUAAUAAAGACUGCUCAAAAUCAACUCGCCCAUUUUCCCGAGUCGAUUCCGAUCCGAGCCCGACCCGUUCGACUCGUUUUCAGCCUUAGGCACAGUUGACCCAAAAUUUAUAAUGUCAAAUGUACUUUUGAAAAAAAAAAGUUCAAGGUAUAAGUGAGACAUCAGGAUAAACUUUGGGGUAUUUUUGCACCUUUGCCGUAUAAAUAUUCUUACCUCCUUUCCAAAAAUGUCCGUACAAGUGUCACUUUCAUAAGUAAGAAGCUUUCUCUCACAUCCACAC